rnacentral:rRNA from 1 species
UACGAAGGGGGCGAGCGUUGUUCGGAUUUACUGGGCGUAAAGGGCGCGUAGGCGGCCCUCCUUGUCGCGUGUGAAAGCCCCGGGCUCAACCUGGGAAUUGCGCGCGAAACGGGGGGGCUUGAGUUCGGGAGAGGAGCGUGGAAUUCCCAGUGUAGAGGUGAAAUUCGUAGAUAUUGGGAAGAACAUCAGUGGCGAAGGCGGCCUGCUGGGCUGUUGCUGACGCUGAGGCGCGACAGCGUGGGGGAGCAAACAGG